UGUCUUUUGGGCAAAAAUAAAAGAUAAUUUCUGCCCGCUGCGGGUUCGUGAAGGGCUGCAGUAUUUUGACUGUAUAAAGGUAGCAUAAUCAUUAGCUUUUUAAUUUGGAGCUGGUAUGAACGGGAGACUGGGGAGAUGGUAUAUUUUAAAAAUUUGUUUAAAAUUUAUUGUUUUGUGAAAAAUCAAAAAUUUAGCUAGGGGACAAGAAGACCCUAAUUAAGUUUAAUUUUUUGUUUUGAAAAGCAUAAAGGAGAACUAUAAUAUUAGUGUAAUUUAAGGUAAUAAAUUUAGCUGGGGCGGCGGAAUAUAAAACAUAUUUUUUUUUUAAUUAAAUGAAAGCGUGGGAAAGACCUAAUUCAGGUUAAUUAAAAGGAUAAUUACUUUAGGGAUAACAGCGUUAUUACUUUUGAGAGUUCAAAUUGACGGAGUAGUUUGUGACCUCGAUGUUGGAUUAAAAUUAGCGUUUGGUGCAGUGGUUGGCGUGUU
rnacentral:rRNA from 1 species